UACGUAGGGACCAAGCGUUGUCCGGAAUCAUUGGGCGUAAAGAGCGUGUAGGCGGCUUGUUAAGUCUUGCGUGAAAUCUCGGGGCUCAACCCCGAGCGGUCGUGAGAAACUGGCAGGCUAGAGUGCGGGAGAGGAGAGUGGAAUUCCUGGUGUAGCGGUGAAAUGCGCAGAUAUCAGGAAGAACACCCGUGGCGAAGGCGGCUCUCUGGAACGCAACUGACGCUGAGACGCGAAAGCCAGGGGAGCAAACGGG
rnacentral:rRNA from 1 species